rnacentral:misc_RNA from 1 species
GUAUUACAAACAAAAAAAUAAAAAUUUUCUUUUCCACAUUACUUUUCACAGCAAAAUACUCGACGCUCGACCAUUGAGUUAUCAAUACAACGAUGAAUAUAAUGAUAGUUCAGUAUAUGUACAACCUCGUGAGCAAAGUGGACUGAAAAUGCUACUUGAUUCUCAAAACCAUGUGAGAGACUCUUUAUUUAAAAAAACAAUAUACGUGGGAAUGCUGGUGAUUUACAAUCCAGUAAAAGAAAGUUCAUUUAGAAUGCCAAAGUGUCUAGCUUGUCUUUGAUUGGCAAAUGGACUGCUCCAACUUCCAAGGAUUCACUUUCAGUUUCUGCCUGAAUUUGCCUGCCAUAUGUAAAGGGCAAGAACAUGCAGCAAUUGAAAUUAACACCUGGAAAUAUGUAUGUGCAGAAUUCUUCAAGAACCUUUGUCCUUGUGUUGUAAGAAACCAAAAAUCCUGGAAGCUGCAAAUACAUCGUCUCAGAAUCUUCACUGAAGGACAAAGGAGAUGCAUCAUAGGGCUCCAUGUGCCACUGGCCGCGAUGGGAGUAGAUUUCUUGAUGCUUAAAACUCAGGUCUUGAUGAUUGACACUGUCAGCUAGUGCCCACCUGAAUUUUUUGCGAUCGUAGAUAUUGUAUAAUGAGUAAUAGUCAUGAUCUUGUUCAUUGAGAAGAAUCCAGGAGUGAACUCCUUCAAAAUCAGUGUAAGUAUAGUGAACUCGCCCUUGAAACUCUGAUAAGCAUCGCUUGUAAGUCAUAGUUGAUUGCCAGGACCAGUCUUCCAAGAAAUUUGGCAGUUCAAUUAGGUCACAAAAAUCAUCUUCAACCUGAUACACCAGCAAGUAUCCACUUAUUUCCCAGUGAAUGGCUCCAUUAGAGAAGAGAGGAGGUGUCUGGAGUUCCGAAAACUCGAAAUCUGGUACAGGAAUAGGCAAGAACAGAUUUUUGGGAUGGAAUCUUCUCCAUUUUUCAGUUUGAGAUGAGUAAAUCUCCAUUUCAAGACCAUCAAAAGCCACUUCUAUAUCAGACAAAUGUACAAGGACAACUUGAUAGUGAAGCCCAUCAAUGGCUAAGCCACACCUGAUAAUGCCCCUCGUAAUGGCAGGUUGGGGCAGAGUAAAAACCUGCCGGGACAUGGGAUUAAACACAUGGUAUUUGAGCUCAAGCUCUCCAAUACUAGCUAACAGAAGAAAGCCCUUGCAUGAAGAAAUAACUUGCACAUAAUUUUCCGUGCAGAAACUGAGGGAACGAUCGAUGUCGACAGCUCCACUUUUAUCACCAAUAUGCAGAAAAAUAAACUGGGAUGAUCCAUCUUCAAACUGGUAUUGACAAAGAAGACCAUUUCUGGCAGUGUUGGACUCACCUGCAGCCAUCCUGAUCCUCCUGGAACUGUUUUGAUCCAUCCUUUCUCUCUUUUGGGUACAGAGGAACCUUCUUAAAACCUCGCUCAGGAUAAUGAUCAGAUUCCUGUGAAAUGGUUUCUCGAUAAAAAGAAAAGGAG